UACGGAGGGGGCUAGCGUUGUUCGGAAUUACUGGGCGUAAAGCGCGCGUAGGCGGACCUGCAAGUCGGGGGUGAAAGCCCGAGGCUCAACCUCGGAACUGCCUUCGAUACUGCGGGUCUCGAGUCCGGGAGAGGUGAGUGGAAUUCCUAGUGUAGAGGUGAAAUUCGUAGAUAUUCGGAGGAACACCAGUGGCGAAGGCGGCUCACUGGUCCGGAACUGACGCUGAGGUGCGAAAGCGUGGGGAGCAAACAGG
rnacentral:rRNA from 1 species